UUAAGCACUGGAAAUAGAGCUGAAUAAGCUGCAAGCAGAAUUUUACGUUGCUAAGAAGUUAAGAAGGGUGUUGACGGAAGAUAACAUCUCAAAGAAAGCUGGAGAGACAAAAAAAUAACCUUGCUACAUCUGGAUACUGGUUUUGUCAUGGCAUUACAUAGCUAUUAUAGAACUGUAUGCUAUAUUUCCUGCUGUGAAACAAGAGAGCUGGAUCACUGAGACUCUGCUAAUGAAGUCCAUUUGGGUUGUCUGGGCAAUUUCCUAUGCAUUUAACAAAGGAAUAAAUUCAAUCAAGUGUCCAGCGAUUAGCUGACCAGUUUCAACUGGAAGCAAAAGGAAGCAACAGUAUUCUGCCCAAAAGCAAUGAUGGAUUUUGAUCCAUUGUUUAAAGUACAGUAUUCCACAGUGCUUUUAUCUGUCCUCUACCAAACGUGUCUUUAACAAGAACAGUACAGACCCUUGUCACAGUCCUGAUACCUAUUACCUAUUUCUAAUCCUUACAAAGCACUGAAAUUUAUAACACUACAUUAAGCUUGAUUCAUUACCACUGUCCUUAUUUUGCUCACAAUGUUCCUGUUUAUGUCAACAAAACUUCACAAAAAACAUUGCCUUUUAGCCCAAGGGAACUGAUAGCUGUGUUCCUUGUACUAUAGCCCUGUUUUUCUAAGUAAGAGUUUAUCUAUAGUUAUUUCAGCUUUCUGCUCCUUUAUGCUGACUUAAGUUUAAAUUUGCAAUAAGAACUUUUUGCUAGCUUUUUUCUGUUAGGAUUCUUAUUAGGCUAAAAAUAAAAUAUUCAUGUUUUUUUUCCUAAUGAAUAUUUGGAGUUUGCAGAGCUUUAUGAUGUGCUUUACCUAAUGGCAAAGGGAGGAAAAGGAAGACCAGGCAAAGUGAUGCUGCAAAGCUCAGGUUAAUUUAGUGGGCCAAGGAAAGGACUGUCUCUGCCAGAAAAAGCUUUCACACACUUGCAUGCCCUUGUCAGCUGAGACCUGUUAAGUUAGUGAUGCUUGCUCCAGCUGGUCCCAGAGCUGGGCUCUUGGAAGUGGCUUGGCUCUAAUGUGCAGUGGUGCUACUUUGGAUGCCACACAGCUUUGGAUGUCUAUGUGAUAGCGCUGUCACCAGCAUGGUCAUCAUAGCCAUGCGUUGGCAGUGACCACCAGCCCCUCCAGCCACAGUGGCAUCCCUCUACACUUCUCCAGUGGCAUCAGGCGUAUUCUUCUAUCAGUCCUUUCUUCACCUCUCCAAUCUUUCAGGUGUGCUCUCCCUUCAGUCACUGGCCCACUGCCCACAUGAGGCUCGCAUCACUCCUGGCAAUGCCCUGUUGGCUGUGUCUCACCAUGCCCAGCCCCCUUGUGCCAUGCCCAGCUCUUGGCCCGGGUGAAGCUGCAGUGCUCUUGUGUCACCUUAAAUUGUGGAAAGGAAAUUCCUGAGGUUAAGCUUAGCAUCAUUUGGGGAUCUGGUCCUAAAUCACUCCAUUUCGAUUAAAUAAAAAACU